UACGUAGGGGGCAAGCGUUGUCCGGAUUUAUUGGGCGUAAAGAGCGUGUAAGCGGCCUGACAGGUCUGCUGUGAAAACUCGAGGCUCAACCUCGAGAUGUCGGCGGAAACCGUCUGGCUAGAGUCCGGAAGAGGAGAGUGGAAUUCCUGGUGUAGCGGUGAAAUGCGUAGAUAUCAGGAGGAACACCGGUGGUGUAGACGGCUUUCUGGACCGUAACUGACGCUGAAACACGAAAGCGUGGGUAGCAAACAGG
rnacentral:rRNA from 1 species